GGCAGGUUGAGGAACUGUAUUCACUCGACCACGACUCUCUCAAUAGGCUUAGCCAUGUAUACGGGUUGGUUUUUCUUUUCAAUUGGCUUCCAGAAGAAAAGGAUGAACGUGCUGUAAUCAAAGGUGAUUAAUAAUGCUUGUGCAACUCAAGCAAUCUUAUCUAUUCUUAUUAAUUCACCUGAUAUUGAUAUCGGUUCAGAGUUGACAAAACUGAAAGAAUUUACCAGGAACUUUUCUCCUGAACUCAAAGGUUUGGCUAUCAAUAACAGCAAGGCUGUACGUACAACCCAUAAUAGCUUUGUGAUGGUACAAUUGAUAGCAGGGAUUGUGGGAACAUAUUUCUUGAUAUUUGCUGGAUGUGCUUCGAUUAUUGUGAACAACAACCAUGACAACGUUGUCACACUUGCUGGUAUUGUGAUUGUCUGGGGACUUACUUUGUUGGUGUUGAUUUACUCUCUCGGUCAUAUCUUUGGUGCUCAUUUCAAUCCUGCUGUUACCAUUGCUUUUGCUAGCACAAGGAGGUUUCUAUUAAUACAGAACGUGGUUCUCAUGCUUUAGGAUGAUCAUUGAUACGGGAGAGGCCUUCGACUAGCAAAUGCAGCAUACAGGUUGCCCCAUCGUUAGAGGGCCGCUUCGAGCGAUGAUGUCAAACUGUUUUGUCGAACCACGAAUUUGCCAAGAAGCGAUCAAUUCAUCCAAAGAAAACCUUAAUUGUAUCACAACUGUGGUACCGUCGACGAAAGAUAAGUGACUCUCUUUGCUCAUUGGUUAACAAUUCAGUCUGUCUUUAGUUCUGAAUCUAAAGCUCUUGAUAUUGUGCAGGACUUGCAGCGAACGAAUUCUAUGACGGUAACUUACUAUGAAUAAUCUUCACCAGUAAUCGUAGAAAGAAGGUUACAGUGGAAAGGAACUGGAUUCUCAUGUAAAAGAAAAUGAUACUUUCACACUUCAAAGGGGACAGCUUUUUUUUAGGAAGAAGAUUAUGCUUUUAGUCUUGCAGCAUAUGUUAAUGUUCAAUUUUGGUCUCUAAAGUGUAUAUAAAAAUAUUUUAAUCACCAUUCUCAUGGAAUCCACUGCAAAAAUUAGUUUAGUCAUUUGAUUUUAUGUUAUGAAAAGUCUAUCUCCAUGUACCGUGGCUUAAAUUAGUUAGUUAUUUGAUCAGAUUUUGAUAUAUUUGAUCAGA